AUGGCAGCCUCCACGGCUUGCUCCGACCACUGCCCGCUCGUGCUUUCGGACGCGGCAGGACCUCGCUGGCGUAGGUGCUUCAAGUUCGAGUCAUUCUGGCUGCACUUCCCACGCUUCACUGACACGGUGACCGCGGCCUGGGCGCGGCCGGUCGCUGCAACAUGCGCCUUUGCCCGCCUCCACACCAAGCUUGCUCAUGCGGCCAAGGACCUCCGCAUUUGGAGCCGGAGCCUCUUCGGCGAUGCAAAGCUGCAGUUCCACAUCGCCUGCAAGGUCAUCUUGCGCCUGGAUGUGGCCCGGGAAAGGCGUCAGCUCUCGCCGGCCGAAAGAGAGCUGCGGAAGGACCUCAAGCUCAGGCUGCUAGGGCUGGCAGCGAUCGAGCACUGCAAGAAAAGGCAGGCCUCGAGACUCACCUGGCUGCGCUCUGGUGAUGCCGCAACCAAGUUCUUCAUGGCAAAAAUCUGCUCGAGAAGGAGGAAGAACUUCAUUCAUGCGUUGAAAGUCAAUGAAACAGUAGCCACGGAGCACAGCGAGAAAGAAGCGGCUAUUCACAGCCAUUUUGACAGCAUCCUUGGAGCUACCCAACAGAGAUCAACCACGAUCAACUCGAGCCAGAUUCAAAUGCCAACAAUCCAAGGUGGUGGACUUGACAACCCG
rnacentral:rRNA from 1 species